UACAGAGGUCUCAAGCGUUGUUCGGAUUCAUUGGGCGUAAAGGGUGUGUAGGUGGCGCCGUAAGUCGGGUGUGAAAUUUCGGAGCUUAACUCCGAAACUGCAUUCGAUACUGCGGUGCUUGAGGACUGGAGAGGAGACUGGAAUUCAUGGUGUAGCAGUGAAAUGCGUCGAGAUCAUGAGGAAGACCAGUGGCGAAGGCGGGUCUCUGGACAGUUCCUGACACUGAGACACGAAGGCCAGGGGAGCAAACGGG
rnacentral:rRNA from 1 species